rnacentral:rRNA from 1 species
UACGGAGGAUGCAAGCGUUAUCCGGAAUGAUUGGGCGUAAAGCGUCCGUAGGUGGUAUUUCAAGUCUGCUGUCAAAGAGUCUGGCUCAACCAGAUAAAGACAGUGGAAACUGAAAAACUAGAGUGCGUUCGGGGUAGAGGGAAUUCCUGGUGUAGCGGUGAAAUGCGUAGAGAUCAGGAAGAACACCGGUGGCGAAGGCGCUCUACUAGGCCGCAACUGACGCUGAGGGACGAAAGCUAGGGGAGCGAAUGGG